AUCAACAGCAGUCCCUACGCUGGGAAGACAGCAGAGGUGUGUAGACAGGUAGUGCCAAGCGUCUUUCUCAUCCUGAAUCUCCUUUGUCCAAGCUCAAGGCCUGUGAUGAAGACUCACUCUCAGGCCUUUGGGGUACAAGAGGCUGCCAUGGUUAUUCUGUUUGGAAAACACUUCCAGAGCCCUGACCCCACGGUGCAUGGGUGGCUCUGCCUCAUCACCCAGCAAGCCUGAGGGGACCUGGGUGAGCUUCUUCUUUGCCCUCCAACCCUGCAGGGGCGUCAGGGCACCAUGCAACUCAUGCCCACAUGCACUUUGAUGGAGAGCGUCCCAGGCUGGGGACACACACCAAGGCUUGCCAUCACGUUCUUUUCAUCAGUGUAACAGCGGUAACUGUCCAGGGACACGCAACCUCCUUGUCUCCCAUCACACUCCGUGGCCCAAACACAGCACAGCUGGAGCCGGGAAAUAUCCACUAGGUGAAUGCCCAUCACUGCUACACACUCACAGCUGUCUCCCUCGGCACCUGCACACGCAGGACAGCUCUGGACAGGUGGGGCACUGAGGCAGCCCAGCCAGGCUGCCAAGACAGGGCUAAGAAGCCCAGUGGAAAUUGUGGAUUUCACCAAAGACUCCCAGAGAGAAGCAUUGCCAUCCCCUCCCUUCUUUAAAUGCAAAGAAAAAAAAAUAGUUUGUUGUUCUCAGGACUUCUGGGCAUGGCAGUCUCAAAAAUGAGCCAAAGCAGACAAGAAAGGGCAUGCAAGGCCUUCUCUGGGUGACAGUGACGAAGGGUGAGUCCUUCAGAACGCUCUACUCUGGAAGCCCGGCCCACUGCAGAGUGACAUCUCCGUCACUUGGAAGGGCAACGUCGUCCCCCAGCUGUCGGGUCCAGUUCAUGCUUGUGAAAGUCCUAUGUGUGUGGCCACACAUGUGAGGACACAUUAGAGUAGUUUGAAACUGAAGAGAGCAAAUUGCAGAAUGAGGACAGUUCUGACAGAAAUGUACCUCUUUUGCAGCUGAUGUAGCUGAAAGCCAUUGGCUGCUGCACGGGAGCAGCAGUUGUAUAAGACCGACACCCAGGAAGCCCCACCUCUCCUCGACGCUUGUUUGAAAUUUCUGCCAAGGAGUGUCCAUGACAGUGGGUAGCAGGGGCCUCCUCCGCCCCUGCCCAGCGCAUAGGGGGAGUCCAGCAGGUUUUGCCUGAGCUACCUCGCUCAACCGGAGUGGGCUGCUCCUGUAAAACCCACCCUCCACGUUGGAAUGAGAUUCCAGUUCAUCCUGACGGCUGACCACUGGAGUGGCAGCCCACCCUGCAGCCCUCAGAGCCCCUGAGGGGCCCUGGGUAUGGUUUUGCAUGCUGCUCACUGGCCCUGCUCAUUGGCCCUUGCCCCUGUGACCCUCCUUCUCCUCGUCCCACCCCAGGAUGUUACGCUUGGGAUGUGGCCGUGCACACAUCCGUACAAGUGUCUCAGGAGCAGUGACCACAGGUUAGUCCUUAAACUAGUAACCCUCCGCACACCUCGUCUUGCCCUAGGACCCCUUCUCCCUCCCAGGCACCAUGAUUUCCCUUACCCUCGGUCUACCCUCGAAAACAACCACCAAACAUAUCCUACAAGAGUUUUUUCCAUUGUUUUGGUAAUCAUUCAUAUAAAAUCUCAUAACAAGGAUAGUCAAGGCAUACUCAACAUCACUAAUCAAUAGAGAAAGACAAAACCACAGUGAGAUAGCACCUCACCCCCAUUAAGAAGGCUUUCUGGAUCAUUUAAACAAUGAAGAAAUGACAAGAGCUGGUGAAGAUGUGGAAGCUCCAGAGCCCUGUGCACUGCUGGAAGGAAUGCAAAAUGGCACAGCUGCUGUGGGAAACAAUGUGGCAAUUCCUCCCAAAAUUAAAGGCAGAAUGACCAUCUGAUCCAGCAGUUACAGUUCCAGGUACCUACCCAAGCAAUUCAAAGCAGGGACUCACACAGAUAUUUACACUGCCAUAUUCAUAGCAGCAUUCUGCACAAUAGCCAACAGAUAAACAUAGCCCAUGUCGGCCGACAGAUGAAUGAAUAAACAAAAAUAUGGACUCU
rnacentral:lncRNA from 1 species